GUGGGGAAUCUUAGACAAUGGGGGAAACCCUGAUCUAGCCAUGCCGCGUGAUCGAGGAAGGCCUUAGGGUUGUAAAGAUCUUUCGCUGGGGAAGAGAAUGACUGUACCCAGUAAAGAAGCCCCGGCUAACUCCGUGCCAGCAGCCGCGGUAAUACGGAGGGGGCUAGAGUUAUUCGGAAUUACUGGGAGUAAAGCGCACGUAGGCGGACUGAACAGUUGGGGGUGAAAUCCAGUGGCUCAACCUCGGAACUGACUUCAAAACGCCCAGUCUUGAGUUCGAGAGGUGUGAGUGGAAUUCCGAGUGGAGAGGUGAAAUUCAUAGAUAUUCGGGGGAACACCAGGGGCGAAGGCGGCUCACUGGCUCGAUACUGACGCUGAGGUGCGAAAGAGUGGGGAGCAAACAGGAUUAGAUACCCUGGUAGUCC
rnacentral:rRNA from 1 species